rnacentral:rRNA from 1 species
UACGAAGGGGGCUAGCGUUGUUCGGAAUUACUGGGCGUAAAGCGCACGUAGGCGGACUAUUAAGUCAGGGGUGAAAUCCCGGGGCUCAACCCCGGAACUGCCUUUGAUACUGGUAGUCUCGAGUCCGAUAGAGGUGAGUGGAAUUCCUAGUGUAGAGGUGAAAUUCGUAGAUAUUAGGAAGAACACCAGUGGCGAAGGCGGCUCACUGGAUCGGUACUGACGCUGAGGUGCGAAAGCGUGGGGAGCAAACAGG